rnacentral:rRNA from 1 species
UACGAAUGGGGCAAGCGUUGUUCGGAAUCACUGGGCUUAAAGCGUGCGCAGGCGGAUUUGCAAGUCAGAAGUGAAAUCCCGGGGCUUAACCCCGGAAUUGCUUUUGAAACUGCGAAUCUAGAAUCCCGGAGAGGUUAGGAGAAUUCCGAGUGUAGAGGUGAAAUUCGCAGAUAUUCGGAGGAAUACCAGUGGCGUAGGCGCCUAACUGGACGGGCAUUGACGCUCAGGCACGAAAGCGUGGGGAGCAAACAGG